UAACAGCUCAAAUUUGAAAUCUGGCUCCUUCGGAGUCCGAGUUGUAAUUUGUAGAAGAUGCUUUGGGUUGUGGGCCCGGCCUAAGUUCCUUGGAACAGGACGUCAUAGAGGGUGAGAAUCCCGUAUGCGGCCAUGGCCCGCGCCUCUGUAAAGCUCUUUCGACGAGUCGAGUUGUUUGGGAAUGCAGCUCAAAAUGGGUGGUAAAUUUCAUCUAAAGCUAAAUAUGGGCCAGAGACCGAUAGCGCACAAGUAGAGUGAUCGAAAGAUGAAAAGCACUUUGGAAAGAGAGUUAAACAGUACGUGAAAUUGUUGAAAGGGAAGCGCUUGCAACCAGACUUGGGCGCUGCCGAUCACCCCGAGUUCUCUCGGGUGCACUCGACAGCGCACAGGCCAGCAUCGGUUCGGGUGGCUGGAGAAAGGCCGGAGGAAUGUAGCUCCCCUCGGGGAGUGUUAUAGCCUACGGCGCCAUGCAGCCCAGCCGGACCGAGGACCGCGCCUUCGGGCUAGGAUGCUGGCGUAAUGGUUGUAAGCGACCCG
rnacentral:rRNA from 1 species